GACGAACGCUGGCGGCGUGCUUAACACAUGCAAGUCGAACGGAAAGGCCCUGCUUUUGUGGGGUUCUCGAGUGGCGAACGGGUGAGUAACACGUGAGUAACCUGCCCUUGACUUUGUGAUAACUUCAGGAAACUGGGGCUAAUACCGGAUAGGAGCUCCUGCUGCAUGGUGGGGGUUGGAAAGUUUCGGCGGUUGGGGAUGGACUCGCGGCUUAUCAGCUUGUUGGUGGGGUAGUGGCUUACCAAGGCUUUGACGGGUAGCCGGCCUGAGAGGGUGACCGGCGACAUUGGGACUGAGAUACGGCCCAGACUGCUACGGGAGGCAGCAGUGGGGAAUAUUGCACAAUGGGCGGAAGCCUGAUGCAGCAACGCCGCGUGCGGGAUGACGGCCUUCGGGUUGUAAACCGCUUUCGCAUGUGACGAAGCGUGAGUGACGGUAAUGGGUAAAGAAGCACCGGCUAACUACGUG
rnacentral:rRNA from 1 species